CAGCUAACCGCUACACCGGAAGUGACGACACAAUUUACUUUAAGCAGCUGUGUAUAUUUCCGCCCCCUGCUGGAGGAAAGUGGAGCCCGAAUGCGACUGAAUGCUAAUUAAAAACAUUUUAAAAAUGUAUUUCUGCCUCCUGAAAUAGAGAAAUAACUUUUAAUGCUUUACAUGUGUUAUUGGAUCUUCAAAGAAAUUGGUGGAUGGUGAUGCUGCGGGCAGGAAGGAUCUCCAGUAGCAGUCCAUCUUGCAGCGAAUAUGAACAGGCCUCUGACUGAAGACUGUUGCUGUGAGACGAUCUCAUGACCGUUCCAUGGUAGCAUGUCCUGGAUGACCAUCAGCUGUUAGCUCGCUAUGUGAAUCCUCAUCAACAACUCAUCCAAAUAAAUCUCUGACAGAUUCUCUUAUCAUUUAGGCUUUUAGUAAAUACAUAAUUCUGGUGAUUCUGACCUGAAACAACAGAAGUUUGGUCUGAUUUAACUUCAGACAAGGAGCAAAAAUAGUGAAAGUGUUUUUGUUUGCUGUAUGUAAAUUUCUGGUUUCAACUGUUUGCAUUAGAAGCUCCACAUUUAUUCAUGGACAUCAAACCCAGAAGGAGUAAUGGUUCUUUUUCUUUAUUUGCAGUGUUAAUAUUUUCACUUUUAUCUCCUAACAUGUUUAAAUGGAAAAUUAUGAACAAAAGGAAAAACUUUCAAACUUUCCUACAGCGUCUGUAAUUAUUGCCGGCUUGAAUGUCUCGUUCUUAAACAUGACAUCAGCAGGUGUAGAUGAAAUAAUUAGAUAAAACUUAGAUAAGAUUUAUUUAUUUAUUAAAUUGUACACAGGAGUUUCAAACUGAGAAAAAACUUUUGUCUAACUUUAAAUACUGGUUUAUUAUGAACACUGCUGUAUUUUCCAAUACACAAUUUAUUUCUCAUGUC